rnacentral:tRNA from 1 species
GCUUCAGCAGCUCAGUUGGUUAGAGCAUGUUGCUGAUAAUGCCAAGAUUGCAGGUUCAGUCCCCGUAUGGGACA